rnacentral:rRNA from 1 species
GACGUAGGGCGCGAGCGUUGUCCGGAUUUAUUGGGCGUAAAGAGCUCGUAGGCGGCUUGUCGCGUCGUGUGUGAAAUCUCAGGGCUCAACUCUGACAUUGCAUACGAUACGGGCAGGCUUGAGUUCGGUAGGGGAGACUGGAAUUCCUGGUCGUAGCGGUGAAAUGCGCAGAUAUCAGGAGGAACACCGGUGGCGAAGGCGGGUCUCUGGGCCGAUACUGACGCUGAGGAGCGAAAGCGUGGGGAGCGAACAGG